rnacentral:rRNA from 1 species
AACGCGAAGAACCUUACCAGGGCUUGACAUCCUGCGCUCACCUAAGAGAUUAGGUUUCCCAGCAAUGGGACGCAGAGACAGGUGCUGCAUGGCUGUCGUCAGCUCGUGCCGUGAGAUGUUGGGUUAAGUCCCGCAACGAGCGCAACCCCCGUCCUUAGUUGCUACCAUUUAGUUGAGCACUCUAAGGAGACUGCCGGUGAUAAGCCGCGAGGAAGGUGGGGAUGACGUCAAGUCCUCAUGGCCCUUACGGGCUGGGCUACACACGUGCUACAAUGGCGGUGACAAUGGGACGCUAAGGGGCAACCCUUCGCAAAUCUCAAAAAGCCGUCUCAGUUCGGAUUGGGCUCUGCAACUCGAGCCCAUGAAGUUGGAAUCGCUAGUAAUCGUGGAUCAGCAUGCCACGGUGAAUACGUUCCCGGGCCUUGUACACACCGACUGUAC